rnacentral:tRNA from 1 species
GCGGGAGUGAUGUAGCUGGCAACAUGCGAGUCUUCCAAACUCGCUUCGAGAGUUCGAAUCUCUCCUUCCGCUCCA